AACGAACGCUGGCGGCGUGCCUAACACAUGCAAGUCGAGCGGGAAAGUCCGCAAGGAUGAGUACAGCGGCGCACGGGUGCGUAACACGUGGGUAAUCUGCCCUGAAGCUCGGGAUAACUCGCCGAAAGGCGUGCUAAUACCGGAUAAGACCACGGGAACCUCGGUUCCUGCGGGAAAAGGUGGCCUCUGUAUACAAGCUAUCACUUCAGGAUGAGCCCGCGGCCCAUCAGCUCGUUGGCGGGGUAACGGCCCACCAAGGCUACGACGGGUAGCUGGUCUGAGAGGACGAUCAGCCACACUGGAACUGAGACACGGUCCAGACUCCUACGGGAGGCAGCAGUGGGGAAUCUUGCGCAAUGGGCGAAAGCCUGACGCAGCAACGCCGCGUGUGUGAUGAAGGUCUUCGGAUCGUAAAGCACUGUCGGGAGGGACGAAUAAGGGCCGGGUGAACAAUCCGGUCUGAUGACGGUACCUCCAAAGGAAGCACCGGCUAACUCUGUGCCAGCCGCCGCAGUAAAAC
rnacentral:rRNA from 1 species